GCAGGCUGCAACUCGCCUGCAUGAAGUCGGAAUUGCUAGUAAUCGCGGAUCAGCAUGCCGCGGUGAAUACGUUCUCGGGCCUUGUACACACCGCCCGUCACACCAUGGGAGUCGGUAACACCCGAAGUCUGUAGCCUGACGCAAGAGGGCGCAGCCGAAGGUGGGAUUGAUGACUGGGGUGAAGUCGUAACAAGGUAAC
rnacentral:rRNA from 1 species